AGUGAACGCUGGCGGUAGGCCUAACACAUGCAAGUCGAACGGCAGCACAGGAGAGCUUGCUCUCUGGGUGGCGAGUGGCGGACGGGUGAGGAAUACAUCGGAAUCUACUUUUUCGUGGGGGAUAACGUAGGGAAACUUACGCUAAUACCGCAUACGACCUACGGGUGAAAGCAGGGGAUCUUCGGACCUUGCGCGAUUGAAUGAGCCGAUGUCGGAUUAGCUAGUUGGCGGGGUAAAGGCCCACCAAGGCGACGAUCCGUAGCUGGUCUGAGAAGAUGAUCAGCCACACUGGAACGGAGGCACGGUCCAGACUCCUACGGGAGGCAGCAGUGGGGAAUAUUGGACAAUGGGCGCAGGCCUGAUCCAGCCAUACCGCGUGGGUGAAGAAGGCCUUCGGGUUGUAAAGCCCUUUUGUUGGGAAAGAAAUCCAGCUGGUUAAUACCCGGUUGGGAUGACGGUACCCAAAGAAUAAGCACCGGCUAACUUCGUGCCAGCCGCCGCCGCAG
rnacentral:rRNA from 1 species